UACGGAGGGUGCGAGCGUUGUCCGGAAUCACUGGGCGGAAAGGGCGCGUAGGCGGCGCGGGUAGUCAUCGGUGAAAGUUCAGGGCUCAACUCUGAAUCGGCCGGUGAUACUCCCGUGCUCGAGCACUGUAGAGGCAGGUGGAAUUCCGGGUGUAGCGGUGGAAUGCGUAGAGAUCCGGAAGAACACCGGUGGCGAAGGCGGCCUGCUGGGCAGUAGCUGACGCUGAGGCGCGACAGUGUGGGGAGCAAACAGG
rnacentral:rRNA from 1 species